rnacentral:lncRNA from 1 species
GACGAAGAACGAGGUGCCACCCUGAGCUCUGAGCAUUUCAUUGAACCUUCAUAGCAACGGUCCUAGGAGGUGGCAGCUAUUAUUAUCUGCAUUUUACAGAGCUCAAUUAAAGGCAACUCAGCCCAAGAACUGCUGCAGCCCUGAUGUACAAAGGGAAGUCACGGGCCACUGAAGGGCCCGUCGUGGUGUGGAACAACGAACGAAAUGCAUAUUUGUUACUGGAAGCACAUUCCGACCUCCUCUGAGCUCUGAGACCUUGUGUUUUCAGUCAGAAGAAUUCAGCUACGCACCAUGUGGACCUUCGUUUUUAAAGUAGUAAAGUGUGAAGGGGGAGAAGAGAUGUCUCUGAAUAAAGAAGCAAACACCAAGGAGGCAAGCUGAAUAAUCCUCUAAAGAGAUGGAGACUGUUAGCCCCUGGGCUGAAUCGCUCUGAACUGGAUAAGAAGGGAUGUGCCUACUCACCAGAACUCGGCUUCCAUUCUGAACUUGAAGGAAAGCCCAGUCACUCCCCUACACAGGUAUCCAAUAGUCUUGGUGUGGCCCUGAUUUGCAGGAGAGGUGUAUGUGGGUGGG